ACGAGUGUAGGUUUGUAAAUGUUUUAUCAACAAGUUACAUAUAACAAAAAUAUAUACAUAAUACAUAAAUGAAGUUAUUAGAUAACAUUAUCUUAUCUAUAGAACAGUCGUACAUGUCUAAUAGAGAUAACAUACGACGAUUUCUACAAUGAGAUUUUAAAAUCAACAAACCUAUCAAAUAAUGACACAUUUUUAAUAUCUUCCUGUUUUAUAAUUACUGAAAAUAUUAACAGAAACAUUUAACAAGAUUAUUUCUCGAUUCUUUUAUUCAGAUAUAGACACAGCUGCAUAGAAUUAUCAUUUCCGGUGUAUCAUUUUAAUUGUAACUUAUAUUCUAUAGAUAUAUAAGUCGAGAGUUUUACAAUUAAAUCAUCAUUAGAAUAUCAGUGAGUUAUAAAUUUCAAAUACUUCGAAAUAUUCGCGUACACUUUCCGCUUCUCUUUGUUGAAAGCGGUAUAUGAUCUAGAAAAAUGGUGGAAUGGCGUAGAUGUUUCUACGAAAGAGUGGUUCUCGAGCAACCACGUGAAUAUUGAAAGACCCAAGAAGGUUGUGGCGGACUGCGGAGGCGGAUCAUGGAAAAAAGACGCGAGGAACAGAGAAGAGGUAACCAAGAGUCGUGACAGUGUCGUAGCAUGUGGUGAAAGACACGAUAGGAAUCAGCUAAGAUCAAAUAUUCCUCCCUGGAAUACUAUUUAAAUUGUAUCAGGCUCUGUUUUUAUUAUUCCAAUAGUUAUUUGCGAAUUUCGAUAUUGGAAUCGAUCGAUCUUCUGUGAAGUCUGAACUAUCUUUCAAAAUAUACUUCAACAGUUCUAUCUGAAUUAGUAUCUAAGAAUUUCUAAUCUUUUUAAACUGUGAUGAAUUAAUUAAUUCUUGCCAUUCGCACAAAAUACAAUACAAACGCCACAUAUUGGAAUAAAGAAAAACGACGAACAAUAAAAACCUCAAAAACUGUGAAUAUUUAUGUAUUUAUGGCAAAUAUAAAUGUGCAAAAAUAUACAGAACGUUUGAAACAAAGUACUCGUGUUACAAUCUUUAGAAGGUGAAACAAAUUUCUAUUUACAUUGCAUUCCCUUAAUCGCGUCCAUAAAACUAUAAAUCCUCAUAAAUCUAAUCAUCAUAAUCUACCACAAUAAUCAUCGUGAUUUAAGCACUGUGAUCAUAACAACCAUCAUAAUUCGCCUAAAUCCACAGGCUAAUCAUCGCACAUCUAAAAAAUCUAUAUUUCAUUCGUUAGUCAAAAUCCUAUAAACAAUUAUCCGUAUCUCUGUUCAAAAUUACAAAACCAUUCAAGAGAGCUCGACAACAGGCUGAUAAAGUGCGAACCGAGUACGGAAAGGCCACCGGAAGUGUUACGCCACUGGCAGAAGAGCGGCCGGCUUCAAGGAGACUCAUUAAAACCGUGCACCACUGGCAGAUUUUUCCCCGAGAAAAUGAGAGACAGAAAGAGGAAGGGAGCAAGAGAAAACAGGCAAGGUGAAGGGUGCAGUCGGCGGACCACGAAAGAUCGCCGGCAAAGGAGCCAACCCGGAACGAAAAGAGAAACCUCGAUGAAACGAAGAGAGAAAGAUAGAAGUUGUCGCGAAUAAACCGGCUUCGGUAAUCCUAGAUUAAGAUCAGUGACGUUCGCGACACUUUCCAUCGACUUAACCACACUUCGACUAGUUUUCUCGACUGGUUGACGAUGGUUCACGAUUCUUUGGGAUCGAUGUGCUUCGCGAACGAUCGUCCGGCUUCGAUUAUGAUGAGCGUAGCUGCUCGUUAGCAGCUCGUUAGCUUCGCUUCCCACCGGAAAAUCCUUAAUUACUGCGAUCGAAAGCGACUAGCGCUGAUUCUUCUCAUCUUUGGAUACCGCGACCCCGUUUUAAUGGCAAGAUUCCGGUUUGAAGUGCCUCUUUGGGAACAAUUGGUAGUAUAUUAAGGGAAUGUAUGUUCUGAAGAUAUCUAAUUGUAAGAAUUAGUUAAGAUUGAGGUGUCAAAUUGACAUGUGAUGUAUGCAAAUGUUGUUUUUUACGCGAUGUAUAAUCAAGAGUUUUAGGGUGACAGAAAUGACUAUUUUUUAUUUUAUUUUAAUAGGUACUUAUUAAUUGACGUAUUGUUUAUUUGGAAGCUAUGAAUUUUUAGCCGCUGGAUAAAAUUUUUAUUUGUUUUUGAUGCCUGGCGCGGAACGUAUUCGUUACGUGACAUUUAACUAUGCAAGACUACUGGUAGCAUUGAAAUUCAACGCAAGAACGUCAAUAAAAAUAAAAAUACCUUGAAAUCAUACACAUUCGACCACAAUAGAAGUAUUCAUAUAUAGCGUGCUCGAGUCUAAACUAUAAAUGCGAAUUAAUCGUAAACUACCUGCUAUAUGGAAAAAAUAUCCAAACAGGAACUGAAUGAUUUCAUCAAUGAAUUAGUUUAAAUCGUAAUAAUAACACGUAGAGAAUCUAACACGUAGAGAUUAUACGAAAGUAAGAUAAGUUUUCUCAAGUCUUAAUUUUCCUAAUGAAUAUCAUCAUAUACAUACGUAUACUUGACAAACCUAUUAAAUCAUUCAUUCACACAUUCCAAAACAUUCAUAAUAAUAAGUAAAAUAAAAAAUUCCAACACGAAAAUCUCUUAUACCAAUAUAAAAUGUUACAUUACAAACAAAUACCUUGUAAUAACACACACUCAAUCAUAAUAACAGCAUUCACACAAUCUUCGAUUCACCAAAUUUCCUGCGAUACACAAAAUUCUUCAAAAUCACCAUCCAUAUCGUUAUACAAAUUUCACCGAACAUAUCGACUAACAGUAUUAUGCAUGCAAUUCGUGCUCGCGAUUUUGUCACGUUGAAUAUGAUUCACGGAUGUAACCUAACCUAUAAUUCGGAAGAGAAACGCAGGCUAUUGAGCUAACGGGGGAAUUUAUGCGAGUUUCCCUAAGCAGAGUGCGACGAGGCCGGAGAGCAGCGGCGAUCCACGACCGAAAUAACCGAGAUUUAUUUCGCGAGGGUCCGCUAAAUCCUGUUAAGCGGCGAAAGUGUAAACGCGCCUACGACUUAACAGCGUUUCGCGCGUUACCGUUCACGGUUCGCGAGACCUCGCUCGCCGCGCUGCGAGUCUCAUCGAUUAUCGAGACUAACGAGUCCAAUUAAAGUGCCCUCGUGAUGCUACCAACUGAUCUAUUGCGUAUCCUGGCUUCGUUCGUUUUAUUAGAGGUGAAAUAAAUAUGUACAAGGUGUCAGUGAACUGCUGAUAUUAUGUAGAAGAGGAUUGUUUUUCAUUUGUUUUUUUUUAUUCUGGACGAAGGAAUAAAUGCAACGUGUCUCUGAAUUGCUGGUAUUAUUUGAAGGAAGAUUCUUUUAUAUUUCUUUUGAUUCUUCAUGAAGAUUUAAGGUAUAAAGAAAGCCUACGUGAUUGAGGAUAUCUAUGCAAACUCAUAUCUUUACGAAGACAAAUUCAGAAAUGAGAUGCUGAUGGAAAAUCACCGUACAUUUUUGCAUCAUUAAAUUUCGCGCAAGUACAUAAAAAUCCGUAAUCUACUUGUACGUAACGUGUUCAUUGUUACAAACGCUGAAAGCAGGAGAACAAAGAAACGAUAACGAUAUUUUCGUAGAGCGUGAAAACUGAUCGAGUUGAACGCAAAAGUCGGCGAAGGGUCGUUCGUUCUCCGUUGCCCACGUGCAUUCCCCAUAUGGGAUUGAUUUAUCGAUCGGUCGGAUCCCAUAAUUCUAUGAUCGAGUGCAUAAUUUCGCGGCACCGCGAAGAAACGAUCGCAAUGAUAUUGAGACCAUCUAACGCGUUCAAUGCGUAUUGUAUUGUCACGUGAAUGAGUGGAAAUAGCUGCACUUUUUGCUCUUGUUAUGCAGGAUCGUUUAACGAUUUUAAACGAUGUUAUAAUAGAUCCGAUGCGAUGUUAUCGGGCUUGAAUGGCGGCAGAAACGUCGAGAAGUCGGUAUUCUUGCGACAAAUCAAUGGCUUAAUACAAAUCAAUGUAUUAUUGGUGAAUUGUCGAUCAGUAGGCAUAUCCACUAACGAUCAAUUGGUAUCGUUACAUUAUUUUGGAUUAAGUUAUAUGAUUUUAUAUAAAUGUUUUACUUUCUUGCAGACAUCUACAAAUCGAGAUUUAAUUUAUAUGUAUAUUUCAAUCCUCAAAAUAUGACGUAUAAAAGAGUUGUAUAAUAUAUUGGCGGAGAAAUUAUCUGUUGAAAAAUUGAAGAAAUUGUUCUAUUUUAAAGCUCAUCUUAAAUAUUGCGUGUGUUUUGACGUUUCAAACAUACGUAUGUAUACCUUCAUUUCAUUUAUGAAAAUCUUGAAACAAAGUUCUAAAUAUACAAACGAUGUGAUGACAGAACUUUCCAAUCGAUUUACUAAUACGAUCAUGAAAAUACAACAUAUUUUGUUUAAUAUGAAUUGCAAGAACGAGAACAGUAGUAUUCGAAAUAUUUUCCACUAUUUUUUAUCGAAUGCCUACGAGUAAAAUAUAAAAGGUAUGCAUCGAAAAAUAGCAGGAAUACCGUGACAUAUACCUAUGAAAAAAAGCAACGAACAAAGGCAUAAAAAAAGGUUCUUUCACAUGGCCGUGUGUCCUGUUAUCGAGGAUGUACCUAACCCGUACUUUUUUCGACGUCCGUUACACGUCGCAGCGAUUCACGUCGGAUAAGCUUCUGAAUGGCGGGACGGCGAGUCGAUGAAUCGAUUUUCACCGGAGAGGCAUCGACGUGGCCGCGAUGUGGCAUGCGAUGCGGCUCAAUAAUUUAUUAUUUGAGCAGUCGCCGGAGACGAUGCUCCGAAACCAUCGCGACGUAGAAUUAUUUCAGUCGCCGCACGAUACACACGUCUCAUCAACUUCCAGCUUGCGUACUUGCGCUGUGCUCAUAAAUAUGCUUGCGAAAGUUUCGGUCGAUUUGUACUAACAACACGCAGAAAGCUAAUAAUCGAAAGCAACGUUCACUAUCUUUUAUCUGGAAUCAACGUGUAUAAGAGAAAGCAUUGAUUUCAUGUGCAAGAGGCUACAUAUUUUUGAGCGUCAAUAUGCCAACAUCCAGUCGCGUUUUUGCACCUCGAUUAGAUCAUUUAAUCAGGUAUUUCGUGAUUAUUUUGAGCCGAAUGACAGAAAUUAGUAUUUCUUGCGGUACAACGAUAUUACGAGCUGUAUGUAGUAGGUACGUUAAGAUUUGGAAAAUAUCAGGACGAAAAGAUUUUAGCUGGACCCAAUAGAAAUUAAUUGCCAUAAUAUGGAAAUUGAGGAAAAUCAUGAACAACUGUUGUGAUAUAUAUAACUUUAUGAAAGUUGAAGUAUAAUAAAUAUUAAAGUAUAAUUAUCAGAUGAACGAGAAACGGAAUUGAUGAGUGUGACUUCCGAGAGGAAGAAUUGAAAUGUAAAAUAUUGUAAAAUGUGACUCUUGAAGAAUUAAAAAAACCUUGAUGCUUCAUCAUCUGCCGUAACUUCUCAGGACACAGAAUUGCGCAAUAUGUAUCGAUCACUUCCCUUAACGUAACCAAUCAAUCCCAGCACGGUGAUUCAACAUCAACAACGAUUCGAACAACAAGCAAAAGAAGCAACGGAGAGAUUAAAAUAGCGUUCACGGAUAACGCGUGUCACGAGUUAUUUUUAAACGCGACAGGCGCAUUCUUUUCGCGGCUGGUCUAUCAAUAGUCGGCCCCGGUAAUAUCUGCUACGAGCAUAAUAACGAUAUUUCAGGCUGCGACUUUGACUUUUAACGCCUCGUGGGACGAGCAAAACCAACGAAGCUCCUGUUGCGUCAACUCAUACGUGAAAUUCUUUUCCUCGCACUGAUCGACGAUAGUUCAUAUUUCGAUAUUGUAAUUCGACAAAUUAGAAUCCAGGCUUUAACAAAUAAGGUUAAAAACUUUCUCUGCCUCGUAAUGUUAGAAGGUAUUAAGUUUAAAUUAAAUUAAACUCAUUUGAAACGAUGUUCUGUCAAUGUUAGCGUGUGCAAACGCAAAUAUGAAUCUUAUACUGUAAUUAAUAGACUGUGAAUUUCCGUGCAAAUUCGUAUUGGAAAUAAUAUUAAUAUUAAUUAGUAUUAAUAAUAAUAAUUUCGAAUAUUCGAAAUUUGAAAAUUCAUUCGAACGAGUACGUGUCCCACCUUGAAUAUUUUACAUAUUCAACACAUACAUUAUAACAUUCUGUGCAUUUUUGCAUCUUUAGAUUUAUCACAAAUACGUGAGAAUCUACAGUUUAAUGUCAACAAUGCAAUUUAAACUACACACGAUGCACGAAAAUAUAGCGAGAGUGUAAUAAAGUUAGAGAAAAUUGUUGAAUAAAUAAAUACACUGAAAUUAACUUCGGUUUAGAAACAGCCUGUAUCUAUGUGUAUGCAUAAUAUCUAAGAAACACACAACAUCUCGUUUUAGCUUAAUUUAGAUUAUAGUACGUUAUUAUAAUAAUUCAGUCUUAUUAAACGUCAAUUAUUGUCAUUUACCUGGGACAACAUACAAAUUAGCUUGAACUGUUUGAAAGUUGAUCGGUCGAUGGUUGGAAAUCAAUUUCCGCUGGCAUAUGUAAUCGAGCGAUCGAGCUCGUGUACUGGCGUGUUUAUUGCUAAUUAAUCGAGCAUGCUCGACUGGAGGAGAGCCGGUCGGAUUGAUGCCUACGAUUAACUAUUCAGAAACGAUGCGCUUGCUGCGUUAAGACAUCGUUUCGUCUUUGCCACCGUGGGAUGUAAUUGACCAACCAUGAUGUGUACACGCUAUUAAUAUAUAUCGUAUCUUCCGAUACAUAACGUGUAUCCUGAUUUUAAA